CAACUUCCCUCCCUGGGGCACACACUCCCUCUCAAGCUUUGAGACGUGGGGGAGAAGUGGGACACGGGAUUGAGGAAAGGGGACCGCCCUCCCUUUCCCCAACAACCCAGUGAAUGGCCCUCUCCUGGGUCCUCAGAGCCUUAUUGAGAGAACUGGAAAAUCCAGUUGCCCAGCCCCCCUCCCAUCACCCCACGGGCACCAUUGCUGGGACUGAGUAGGGAGCAGGAAGGCAGGCCCGGUGAGGAGAGGCCAGCGGGCCUUCAGACAUCUCUUCCACCAUCUGAGAAGUGAGGGGAUAGAGCCGCGAUGGGGACUGAGCUGCCCCUCGUCCUCCUCCUGACCCUUGUCGGCAGCUCACAGGGGGCAGGGCCGGGAAUGACUUUGCAACUGAAGUUGAAGAACUCCCUUCUGGCAAAUUCCUCCUACAAUUCCAGCUUCCUGGACUUUCUCCAGAAGUUCUGCCUCCUCCUCCACCUCCCCGUGGGGACCAACGUCACCCUGCAUCAAGCAGGGUCCUCACAGCACGUCACCUGCAGAGUCUGAGAGCAGCCGAAGCCUGUGCCCUUCUUGGCUGGGGCCUCCGGUCCCCGGGGAGCAGGCGCCAUGCCCUGACCCUGUCUUCCAGCAGGACCUCACCCUGUUAAGUGGCAGCAAGAGGCUUUCCCAUGUCAACACCUGCAGCAGGUUCCCAUAUAGCAUAAUAGAUCUCAUUAUCCCAUUUUACUGAUGAGGAAAUCGAGGCUUAAAAGAUGGCAGGUACUCAUCUUACUCCACACUCAAGAUGCUCUUGACUUCUUACUGGCUGACUCUAAAUGCAAGCAUGCAGCCCAGACUUGACCAUGAAGGGCUAUUGGUGUGAUUGCUUCCUGCUCUCCACAGUUCCUGUCCUACCAACCUGCUCCAACCCCCGCACAGCACCACCACCACAUGAAACUAGAGACUGGCUCCUUUGGAGCAAGGGAAAGGUAACAUUCCAAAUGGAGUAUCCCUGAAGAUAAGAAGGCAUGACAAAAUGAAAUUUCUUUCGUUUCCUUGACAACUGUCCUGGGACUAUUACCCCUGGAAGAGGAGAGGUAGCUGGGGGCUCUGUAGGACCCCAGUAUUUCAUGACUGACCUCUAGGCUGCACCAGUGGGCAGGUGGGUCAGGUGAAUAGACCCCAAACAAGUUGAGGGAUUGAAUGUCUGGAUCUCCAAAAGGAUGGAGGAGCAGACAGUGCACUGUUUUUGUUGCUUAAUUUUGAUUUAUUUUACGUGUAUUUUUCUGACUGUC